UACGUAGGGACCGAGCGUUGUCCGGAAUCAUUGGGCGUAAAGAGCGUGUAGGCGGCUAUUUAAGUCCUGCGUGAAAUCCUGCGGCUCAACCGCAGACGGUCGUGGGAAACUGGAUGGCUAGAGUGCGGGAGAGGAGAGUGGAAUUCCCGGUGUAGCGGUGAAAUGCGCAGAUAUCGGGAAGAACACCCGUGGCGAAGGCGGCUCUCUGGGCCGUAACUGACGCUGAGGAGCGAAAGCGUGGGGAGCGAACAGG
rnacentral:rRNA from 1 species